rnacentral:rRNA from 1 species
UGGGGAAUAUUGCACAAUGGGCGCAAGCCUGAUGCAGCCAUGCCGCGUGUGUGAAGAAGGCCUUCGGGUUGUAAAGCACUUUCAGCGAGGAGGAAAGGUGGUGAACUUAAUACGUUCAUCAAUUGACGUUACUCGCAGAAGAAGCACCGGCUAACUCCGUGCCAGCAGCCGCGGUAAUACGGAGGGUGCAAGCGUUAAUCGGAAUUACUGGGCGUAAAGCGCACGCAGGCGGUUUGUUAAGUCAGAUGUGAAAUCCCCCGGGCUCAACCUGGGAACUGCAUUUGAAACUGGCAAGCUAGAGUCUCGUAGAGGGGGGUAGAAUUCCAGGUGUAGCGGUGAAAUGCGUAGAGAUCUGGAGGAAUACCGGUGGCGAAGGCGGCCCCCUGGACGAAGACUGACGCUCAGGUGCGAAAGCGUGGGGAGCAAACAGGAUUAGAUACCCCUGGUAGUCCCACGCUGUAAAACGAUGUCGAUUUUGGAGGUUGUGCCCUUGAGGCGU